rnacentral:rRNA from 1 species
CCUACGGGUGGCUGCAGUGGGGAAUUUUGCACAAUGGGCGAAAGCCUGAUGCAGCAACGCCGCGUGUGUGAUGAAGGUCUUCGGAUCGUAAAGCACUUUCGACCGGGACGAACAACCUCUGGCUAACAGUCAGGGGCCUGACGGUACCGGGAGAAGAAGCACCGGCUAACUCUGUGCCAGCAGCCGCGGUCAUACAGAGGGUGCAAGCGUUGUUCGGAAUUAUUGGGAGGAGGCUUGGUAAGUGGGGUGUGAAAGCCCUCAGCUCAACUGAGGAAGGGCGCCCGAAACUGGCGAGCUUGAGUGUCGGAGAGGAUGGCGGAAUACCCCAAGUAGAGGUGAAAUUCGUAGAUAUGGGGUGGAACACCGGUGGCGAAGGCGGCCAUCUGGACGACAACUGACGCUGAGACGCGAAAGCGUGGGGAGCAAACAGGAUUAGAUACCCCGGUAGUC